UGGGCGUAAAGCGAGCGCAGGCGGAAAAAUAAGUCUAAUGUGAAAGCCCUCGGCUUAACCGAGGAACUGCAUCGGAAACUGUUUUUCUUGAGUGCAGAAGAGGAGAGUGGAACUCCAUGUGUAGCGGUGGAAUGCGUAGAUAUAUGGAAGAACACCAGUGGCGAAGGCGGCUCUCUGGUCUGCAACUGACGCUGAGGCUCGAAAGCAUGGGUAGCGAACAGGAUUAGAUACCCUGGUAGUCCAUGCCGUAAACGAUGAGUGCUAAGUGUUGGGAGGUUUCCGCCUCUCAGUGCUGCAGCUAACGCAUUAAGCACUCCGCCUGGGGAGUACGACCGCAAGGUUGAAACUCAAAGGAAUUGACGGGGGCCCGCACAAGCGGUGGAGCAUGUGGUUUAAUUCGAAGCAACGCGAAGAACCUUACCAGGUCUUGACAUCUAGUGCAAUCUGUAGAGAUACGGAGUUCCCUUCGGGGACGCUAAGACAGGUGGUGCAUGGCUGUCGUCAGCUCGUGUCGUGAGAUGUUGGGUUAAGUCCCGCAACGAGCGCAACCCUUGUUAUUAGUUGCCAGCAUUAAGUUGGGCACUCUAAUGAGACUGCCGGUGACAAACCGGAGGAAGGUGGGGAUGACGUCAAGUCAUCAUGCCCCUUAUGACCUGGGCUACACACGUGCUACAAUGGGCAGUACAACGAGAAGCAAGCCUGCGAAGGCAAGCGAAUCUCUGAAAGCUGUUCUCAGUUCGGACUGCAGUCUGCAACUCGACUGCACGAAGCUGGAAUCGCUAGUAAUCG
rnacentral:rRNA from 1 species